GAUAGCCUUACUGCCGUUGGUCCGCUCCUCCUUAGCACCAUCCACUUGGCACGCCUAUGCCCGCAUGUGGUCUGAAUGGGACAAUUUCUGUGCGUCCAGGGGAGCCGACGCUGCUCAGGGGUCUAGGGACAACUUACAUGAUUGGCUGGCACUACCCCCGGGGUGAAGCGAAUCUGGAUUGUGGGCCACUCCUUUGUCCACUGGGCCUCCCUACGCUGUGCGUCCCUCCCAUUUGGCCAAUCCCUAGGUAUCCCUACCAACAAGGCAUCCGUUAGGUGGUUGGGUGAUAGGGGGAUGUGCUGGCCCCAAUUAGCAGGAACCAUAUCUGAGGCCCUGGUACGCUGGGGGAAGCCUCACAUUAUUAUUCUUCACCUAGGGGGUAACGAUGUGGGGGCCAUACCAGUUUUACAGUUGAUUAAGGUUAUGCAGGCAGACAUUGGGUGGCUAAGAGUACGCAUCCCGGGGGUCAUGAUAGGGUGGUCCCAUAUAAUACCCCGUCUCCACUGGAGGCAUAUGUCGGCCCAUACGGCGGCAUACCGGGUUAGGAAGAAGAUCAAUGCGUCUGUAGCGAAAACCGUCACUGGGUCAGGUGGCUUCGUGGUACGGCACGAAGCCAUUUCGGCUGAUAGAACCGAGCUAUAUAGAAGGGAUAAAGUUCACCUUUCUGAUGUGGGGCUGGAUUUAUUCAUAGGGGACAUUCAGAGAGCUCUGUUACCCCUCCUGUAAAUCGGGUUGUGGGUUGGCGGCAAGGGUACCAUUAAAAUGCUUCCUUGUGGCGGGAGAUCCUCGGUCCGGUUGCGCAGGAGAAGGUCGCUAGGGGUGAGUGAUGGCCAGACUUCCGGGGAGGAGGGUAGGCCCUCACGUGCACGUGACGGUAACCCUCCUUCCUCCCUUUUGAGGGAUGGUCACGUGAUCUCUGCAACCCCUCAGCGUCAUCUCCUUAGGGCAGAGACCCCUCUGCUGCUGUUCCCGUUGGGCCGGUGAUCUCCUGCUGUUCUGGGUAGCUGAUCUCUAUGCCGCCAUAUAUAUUUUCAGUUCUAUCAGUUCUAUCUAGUUUGUUAGGUUAAUAAAAUUUUAUGGCCUGUGACGGUCACAAAAUUUUUCCCAUAAAAA